rnacentral:rRNA from 1 species
AUUGAACGCUAGCGGGAUGCUUUACACAUGCAAGUCGAACGAGUGGCGGACGGGUGAGUAAUGUAUCGGAACCUGCCCAGUAGCGGGGGAUAACUACUCGAAACGGUGGCUAAUACCGCAUACCAUCGGAUGGGCCCAUAUCGGAUUAGCUAGUUGGUGGGGUAAAGGCUCACCAAGGCGACGAUCCGUAGCUGGUUUGAGAGGAUGACCAGCCACACUGGGACUGAGACACGGCCCAGACUCCUACGGGAGGCAGCAGUGGGGAAUUUUGGACAAUGGGGGCAACCCUGAUGCAGCCAUCCCGCGUGUAUGAGAAGGCCUUCGGGUUGUAAAGUACUUUUGGCAGAGAAGCGGUAUCUGCAGAAUAAGCACCGGCUAACUACGUGCCAGCAGCCGCGGUAAUUC